rnacentral:rRNA from 1 species
CGGCAAUGGAGGAAACUCUGACCGAGCAACGCCGCGUGUAUGACGAAGUACUUCGGUAUGUAAAGUUCUUUUAUCAAGGAAGAAAAGCAAAUGGCGAACCAUUUGUUUGCCGGUACUUGAUGAAUAAGCCCCGGCUAAUUAUGUGCCAGCAGCCGCGGUAAGACAUAAGGGGCAAGUGUUAUCCGGAAUUAUUGGGCGUAAAGGGUGCGUAGGCGGUCUAGUAAGUCAGUGGUGUAAUGGCAACGCUUAACGUUGUCCGGCUAUUGAAACUGCUUAACUUGAGUUAGAUAGAGGCGAGUGGAAUUCCAUGUGUAGCGGUAAAAUGCGUAAAUAUAUGGAGGAACACCAGAGGCGUAGGCGGCUCGCUGGGUCUUAACUGACGCUGAGGCACGAAAGCGUGGGGAGCAAACAGGAUUAGAUACCCUGGUAGUCCACGCCGUAAACGAUGAGUACUAAGUGUCGGGUUAAACCGGUACUGAAGUUAACACAUUAAGUACUCCGCCUCAGUAGUACGUACGCAAGUAUGAAACUUAAAGGAAUUGACGGGACUCCGCACAAGCGGUGGAUCAUGUUGUUUAAUUCGAAGAUACCCGAAAAACCUUACCAGGUCUUGACAUGUUUUUGCAAAAUGAUAGUAAUAUCGUGGAGGUUACCAGAAACACAGGUGGUGCAUGGUUGUCGUCAGCUCGUGUCGUGAGAUGUUAGGUUAAGUCCUAAAACGAGCGAAACCCUUAUCGUUAGUUGCCAGCACGUUAUGGUGGGGACUUUAACGAGACUGCCAAUGAUAAAUUGGAGGAAGGUGAGGAUCACGUCAAAUCAGCAUGCCCCUUAUGACCUGGGCUACAAACGUGAUACAAUGGCUGUUACAAAGAGUUAGCUGAA